UCUCUCAAUGUCAGUGGGACUAUGAGACAGCCAACCCAGAAUCUGGGCGCGCAGGACAAGAGGAAAUUCAUUAGGUUCUUUACCAAAAAGUUUGAAAAUAAUUCGAUCCGUACGACUCUGAGUGUCUCCACUAGAACUAGAAGGUGACUGGGCAGAUACUGAAUCUGAAUUUCCACUUGUCUGUGGUGGACUUGAUUGAUGUGAAUCUUGUUGUACCCAUGAAGGGCAAUCAAGGGAGCUAGUCCCGAUGUUUGUAGCAACUGGCGAUCUCUCUAUAUCUUCAGCACCAUCAUCNCAACAUAUAUGUCAUUCAAAUCAAAAUUGUUCAUCUUGACCUGCCCUGCAGUGCUGUCUCGAACUUCUGAAUAUGCUGGAUAGUUGCUCGGAAUGCUAGGUUU
rnacentral:misc_RNA from 1 species